UACGUAGGGUGCGAGCGUUGUCCGGAAUUACUGGGCGUAAAGAGCUCGUAGGCGGUUUGUCGCGUCGUCUGUGGAAUUUCGCAGCUUAACUGUGGGCGUGCAGGCGAUACGGGCAGACUUGAGUGCUGCAGGGGAGACUGGAAUUCCUGGUGUAGCGGUGAAAUGCGCAGAUAUCAGGAGGAACACCGGUGGCGAAGGCGGGUCUCUGGGCAGUUACUGACGCUGAGGAGCGAAAGCGUGGGGAGCGAACAGG
rnacentral:rRNA from 1 species